rnacentral:rRNA from 1 species
UAAACAUAUUACCGAAGCUGUGGAUUGUCCUUUGGACAAUGGUAGGAGAGCGUUCUAAGGGCGUUGAAGCAUGAUCGUAAGGACAUGUGGAGCGCUUAGAAGUGAGAAUGCCGGUGUGAGUAGCGAAAGACGGGUGAGAAUCCCGUCCACCGAUUGACUAAGGUUUCCAGAGGAAGGCUCGUCCGCUCUGGGUUAGUCGGGUCCUAAGCUGAGGCCGACAGGCGUAGGCGAUGGAUAACAGGUUGAUAUUCCUGUACCACCUAUAAUCGUUUUAAUCGAUGGGGGGACGCAGUAGGAUAGGCGAAGCGUGCGAUUGGAUUGCACGUCUAAGCAGUAAGGCUGAGUAUUAGGCAAAUCCGGUACUCGUUAAGGCUGAGCUGUGAUGGGGAGAAGACAUUGUGUCUUCGAGUCGUUGAUUUCACACUGCCGAGAAAAGCCUCUAGAUAGAAAAUAGGUGCCCGUACCGCAAACCGACACAGGUAGUCAAGAUGAGAAUUCUAAGGUGAGCGAGCGAACUCUCGUUAAGGAACUCGGCAAAAUGACCCCGUAACUUCGGGAGAAGGGGUGCUCUUUAGGGUUAACGCCCAGAAGAGCCGCAGUGAAUAGGCCCAAGCGACUGUUUAUCAAAAACACAGGUCUCUGCUAAACCGUAAGGUGAUGUAUAGGGGCUGACGCCUGCCCGGUGCUGGAAGGUUAAGAGGAGUGGUUAGCUUCUGCGAAGCUACGAAUCGAAGCCCCAGUAAACGGCGGCCGUAACUAUAACGGUCCUAAGGUAGCGAAAUUCCUUGUCGGGUAAGUUCCGACCCGCACGAAAGGCGUAACGAUUUGGGCACUGUCUCAACGAGAGACUCGGUGAAAUCAUAGUACCUGUGAAGAUGCAGGUUACCCGCGACAGGACGGAAAGACCCCGUGGAGCUUUACUGUAGCCUGAUAUUGAAAUUCGGCACAGCUUGUACAGGAUAGGUAGGAGCCUUUGAAACGUGAGCGCUAGCUUACGUGGAGGCGCUGGUGGGAUACUACCCUAGCUGUGUUGGCUUUCUAACCCGCACCACUUAUCGUGGUGGGAGACAGUGUCAGGCGGGCAGUUUGACUGGGGCGGUCGCCUCCUAAAAGGUAACGGAGGCGCUCAAAGGUUCCCUCAGAAUGGUUGGAAAUCAUUCAUAGAGUGUAAAGGCAUAAGGGAGCUUGACUGCGAGACCUACAAGUCGAGCAGGGUCGAAAGACGGACUUAGUGAUCCGGUGGUUCCGCAUGGAAGGGCCAUCGCUCAACGGAUAAAAGCUACCCCGGGGAUAACAGGCUUAUCUCCCCCAAGAGUUCACAUCGACGGGGAGGUUUGGCACCUCGAUGUCGGCUCAUCGCAUCCUGGGGCUGUAGUCGGUCCCAAGGGUUGGGCUGUUCGCCCAUUAAAGCGGUACGCGAGCUGGGUUCAGAACGUCGUGAGACAGUUCGGUCCCUAUCCGUCGUGGGCGUAGGAAAUUUGAGAGGAGCUGUCCUUAGUACGAGAGGACCGGGAUGGACAUACCUCUGGUGUACCAGUUGUCGUGCCAACGGCAUAGCUGGGUAGCUAUGUGUGGACGGGAUAAGUGCUGAAAGCAUCUAAGCAUGAAGCCCCCCUCAAGAUGAGAUUUCCCAACUUCGGUUAUAAGAUCCCUCAAAGAUGAUGAGGUUAAUAGGUUCGAGGUGGAAGCAUGGUGACAUGUGGAGCUGACGAAUACUAAUCGAUCGAAGACUUAAUCAA